rnacentral:tRNA from 1 species
GAGGCUUUAGCUUAAUUAAAGUGUCUGGGUUGCAUUCAGAAGAUGCGUUUUAGUAGUUCGCAAGUCUUA